UGCAGCGGCUGGAGUACAGAGGCUACAACUCGGCAGGUGUGGCAAUCGAUGGGAAUAAUCACGAAGUCAAAGAAAGACACAUUCAACUGGUCAAG